rnacentral:rRNA from 1 species
UACGAAGGGGGCUAGCGUUGCUCGGAAUCACUGGGCGUAAAGCGCACGUAGGCGGAUUGCUAAGUCAGGGGUGAAAUCCUGGAGCUCAACUCCAGAACUGCCUUUGGUACUGGCGACCUUGAGUCCGGGAGAGGUGAGUGGAACUGCGAGUGUAGAGGUGAAAUUCGUAGAUAUUCGCAAAGAACACCAGUGGCGAAGGCGGCUCACUGGCCCGGUACUGACGCUGAGGCACGAAAGCUAGGGGAGCGAACCGGG